rnacentral:rRNA from 1 species
AUACGUAGGGUGCGAGCGUUGUCCGGAAUUACUGGGCGUAAAGAGCUCGUAGGUGGUUUGUCGCGUCGUCUGUGAAAUUCCGGGGCUUAACUCCGGGCGUGCAGGCGAUACGGGCAUAACUUGAGUACUGUAGGGGAGACUGGAAUUCCUGGUGUAGCGGGGAAAUGCGCAGAUAUCAGGAGGAACACCGGUGGCGAAGGGGGGUCUCUGGGCAGUAACUGACGCUGAGGAGCGAAAGCAUGGGUAGCGAACAGGAUUAGAUACCCUGGUAGUCCAUGCCGUAAACGGUGGGCGCUAGGUGUAGGGGUCUUCCACGACUUCUGUGCCGUAGCUAACGCAUUAAGCGCCCCGCCUGGGGAGUACGGCCGCAAGGCUAAAACUCAAAUGAAUUGACGGGG